UCAGUCUAGAUUUUUGUUCCCACACCUGAAGCAAAGCCACAUUUAGCUCAGAACGCCAACUGAAAUACAGCCGACACCCCAGAAAUUGCCGAUACUAAAUCGAAUAUUGUCGACAGCAAAUACCAAACGAAGGAUGAUGUUCAAGAUAGUUUCUGCUCUGUUUUUCAUCAGUUUAGCAGCUUUUACUGAACAAGCAAAACAUAAUCCAACCACUACGAAGAAACUCUCAAAAUGCGAGAUAAAAUUGCAAGAGUGUAACCGAUAUUUGGUGGAAAUACAGAAGUCAGUCACGGAUUUUGGCUGCAAGGUGAUCGGUUUAGCAGAAAAAUGUUUUCAAAAGUACGAAACAGAUUGUGUAUGAACAAGAUAUGUACAGGAUAUGAACAAG